rnacentral:lncRNA from 1 species
UGUCCCGUCCCGUGCACGUUCAAUCGUUUCCACUUGUUUCCCUCCUAUGCUUAGGGACCUAUAAAUUUCAAGAUUAUUAUUUAGGUGAUCUAUAUACAUCUCAUGAAGCAGUGAUGUGAUCUAGUACAGGGACGUAUUAUGGUUAAUUAAGAAUCGCAGUGGUGUAGCAGAGAAAGAGUAUGACAAGGGAGGGGGCGGCGGUGGCGGCGAGAAACGCUCGUUAGGUUCCACGGAAAAAGGAAAACAAGCAAAAGGUUCUGGCUUCAAGGCUUUGACAAACAGGACAAUUUGAAAGUCUACCGAAAGGUUAAUCGAAUCGGACGCUCUUUAGUUUCAAUUGUAUCCAUGCAUCGAAGCAAGUCUGAUUCAUUGAUCGCAAAUCGAUAGACGCGAUUCACGUCGAUGGCAGGCGACGUUACAGAAUCGUGCUUUAAAUUCAUUUGCAUCUUCAACCGGCUAGUAUUGGAGUAUAUUCUGAAUCUCGUUUCCGGUAUCUAUUGUGCACCAUCUGGCACGUAUCGCGGAGCCGCAAUCAUUUACAAAAUAGUCGCGACAUCCCGACAUGUUGCAAAUUGCUGAAUUUUAACUUCGUCCCCAUCCUUCCCUUCAUAUUCGUAACGAUUCCCAUUGUACAAGACGUAUUGCAAUGAAAUAGAGUGGAAUUUAUUUUAAUGGGUUCGUGAUUUGGAUAAACAGACGAUUAAAUGAAUUGAGCGUAAGAAACACAAAUAUCAGGAUAUAAAAGGAAUAGAUUGAGCAAUAGUAUCGUUAAAUGCAAUUGAAACGAUAUUCCAUUACAUUCAGUUGAGAUAUUUGUUGAAACAUUCAUCAUAUUUACUGUUCAUCGAACAUAUCGUUCUAGACUAACUAGAAGUUACCGAAAAUAACUUUCUCCCAGUAAAUAUGAAUAUUUUUAUAGCGGCGCUUCCGUUUUAUGUUCCAUCUAUGAAAUUACAUCUCCUAAAACGACGCCCAUAUAAAAUAAAUAUCGCUCCUAUAGAGUUUCCAAUAUCGUCGGUGAACUUUAUUAUUUUAUGUACAAAUUUACAUUCGAGUCUUCGUGUAUAAUCUUCAAUUCCAAUGCGUUUUAUCCUUUCUAAUCGAUCGAUAAUCUGCGAAGCGUAUCCGCUUAUAAAUGAAUCGGCACAAACGUAAAGUUUCGACAGAGCUAGAAAUAAAAGGAGGAAGUUAUUUCAAGCGUUUCGUUAAGCACUCCUUUGCUAAAUACGUAAUCGGCUAGUAGUAGAAAAUGCAUUUUUGCAUUGGCGUAUCGGAUAAAUUUUCGCUGUUCAACGAAAACAAUACGUGCGUGCGUUUCUAUAAAUAGUAAAUUCAUAUAGUGCAUGCUUUAAAUAUUAAUACAUUCCGCAUAGUAACCGCGGUGUAACUUGGCUUCACUUCAAGCCUUGUCGUAUAUUUUUAGUGUUUUGCAGGAGCAAAUGAUCCCUACGCGUAUCAAUGUCGAGCAUCAUUCACGUGUUAGAAAUGAGUUCUCGUGACGCAGAAGCAUAUACAUAUAAUGUAUAAUUAUUUGGUAAUGCGAAGCCAACCAGCGUCAGAGAUUUUGCUUGCUGUUUAAAUAGUUCGAAUUAUAGUCCUUGAUAUAGCGUUCUAUGAAGAAGGAAAUUGGAACAGAAAAUCGUUGUCCAACGAGCGUAAUACUUUCUCUUACUUGCUUUUGUAUAUUUCAAGAAAAGAAUAUAAGGAAGAGGAAGGAAACUUAUAUUCAUUUAUUCGAUACAUAAAACGAGUCAAUUUGUCACUUGAACCAGUAUUAAUUUACACCGAAUAGUUUAUGUUCAUAGGGUUUACCAACUUCUUAAAUAGACUAUAACAUAUAACAUUAUGUUAAAUAUAAUAACAGUGAUUUUAAAAAUACU